rnacentral:rRNA from 1 species
GCCAUCGGCCAUACCAUGCUGAAUACGCCGGUUCUCGGCCGAUCACCGAAGCUAAGCAGCAUUGGGCUCGGUCAUGUACUUGGGAAAGAGAAAGCGGAGUGGGUACGUUUAGAACCGACGAUU